CCUACGGGUGACAGCAGUGGGGAAUAUUGGGCAAUGGGCGCAAGCCUGACCCAGCAACGCCGCGUGAAGGAAGAAGGCUUUCGGGUUGUAAACUUCUUUUGUCAGGGAAGAGUAGAAGACGGUACCUGACGAAUAAGCCACGUCUAAAUACGUGCCAGCAGCCGCGGUAAUACGUAGGGUGCGAGCGGUAAUCGGAAUUACUGGGCGUAAAGGGUGUGCAGGCGGUUUUGCAAGAUGGAUGUGAAAGCCCCGGGCUUAACCUGGGAAAGCCAUACAUGACUGCAAGACUAGAGUGCGUCAGAGGGGGGUGGAAUUCCAAGUGUAGCAGUGAAAUGCGUAGAUAUUUGGAAGAACACCGAUGGCGAAGGCAGCCCCCUGGGACGCAACUGACGCUCAUACACGAAAGCGUGGGGAGCAAACAGGAUUAGAUACCCCGGUAGUC
rnacentral:rRNA from 1 species